AGGCCUAACACAUGCAAGUCGAGGGGUAACAGAAGUAGCAAUACUUGCUGACGACCGGCGCACGGGUGAGUAACGCGUAUGCAACCUACCUUUGACUGGAGAAUAGCCCGAAGAAAUUCGGAUUAAUGCUCCAUGAGACCACAAUACCGCAUGAUAUAGUGGUAAAAGCUCCGGCGGUCAAAGAUGGGCAUGCGUGCCAUUAGUUAGUUGGUGAGGUUACGGCUCACCAAGACAACGAUGGCUAGGGGGUCUGAGAGGAUGAUCCCCCACACUGGUACUGAGACACGGACCAGACUCCUACGGGAGGCAGCAGUGAGGAAUAUUGGUCAAUGGACGCAAGUCUGAACCAGCCAUGCCGCGUGCAGGAUGAAUGCCCUAUGGGUUGUAAACUGCUUUUCUACAAGAAGAAACUUCCUGAUGUAUCAGGAACUGACGGUAUUGUAGGAAUAAGCAUCGGCUAACUCCGUGCCAGCAGCCGCGGUAAUACGGAGGAUGCAAGCGUUAUCCGGAUUCAUUGGGUUUAAAGGGUGCGUAGGCGGGGUAGUAAGUCAGUGGUGAAAGCCUGCGGCUUAACCGUAGAAUUGCCAUUGAUACUGCUAUUCUUGAGUGCAGUUGAGGUAGGCGGAAUGUGUAAUGUAGCGGUGAAAUGCUUAGAUAUUACACAGAGCACCGAUUGCGUAGGCAGCUUACUAAACUGUAACUGACGCUGAGGCACGAAAGCGUGGGGAGCGAACAGGAUUAGAUACCCUGGUAGUCCACGCUGUAAACUAUGAUCACUCGCUGUUGGCGAUACAUUGUCAGCGGCUGAGCGAAAGCAUUAAGUGAUCCACCUGGGGAGUACGGCCGCAAGGUUGAAACUCAAAGGAAUUGACGGGGGCCCGCACAAGCGGUGGAACAUGUGGUUUAAUUCGAUGAUACGCGAGGAACCUUACCUGGGCUUAAAUGCAGAACGACGUACCGGGAAACUGGUACUCCCUUCGGGGCGGACUGCAAGGUGCUGCAUGGUUGUCGUCAGCUCGUGCCGUGAGGUGUCGGGUUAAGUCCCAUAACGAGCGCAACCAUCAUUGUUAGUUGCCAGCGAGUAAUGUCGGGGACUCUAACGAAACUGCCGGUGUAAACCGUGAGGAAGGUGGGGAUGACGU
rnacentral:rRNA from 1 species